UGGAGGGGACAUUUUGAGCCUACCAUUGAUCAAACCCAAGUGUGGAAGAUUGCUUGGAGCUUUGAAGACUUAAGGACUCUCGAGUUUGGACCACCUUUGUUGGUUCACGGUUUUGGUUCCCUUCACUAAGGGAAUUUUGGUCACUUAACUUUAAGUACAUUUUGGACAAUUCAUAUUGUCUUCCAACACACCAAGGCCACCCUUGGUCAUUAAGGGUAAUGGGGUCUUUUUUUCUACUUUUGUAAUAUACUAUAAGUAGUACAUUUUAGGUCUUUUCUAUUUAGUUUUAUGAAAAAUGAAAUAUUGAAACACUUAAAAUCCUCUCCCUUGAGAGUAAACCAACUUAGUGUAGUUUUAGUAUAGGGCUUGGAAAAGCUAACAUUGUUCUUUGCUUGGAAACAGUAGAUCUUGAGGUGAGUUGAUUCUCUUGGCGGUCACCAUAAGAGUGUAGUUUUGAUUAUUACAUUAAUUAGGGGUUUUUGAGUUUAAUACACUCUUUAUUUCUUAAUCUUGUAAUAAUCUUGGUCUUAUUAUCUAUCCUUUACUUUUGUUGUUGUUAUCUUGUGUAGUGGACUAUUUUGGGUCAUUUAUUGAAUCCGUAACUUAUGUUAUUGUUGUUUAUAUUGUUCAUCAUGUUUUAUAACUGUCUUGGUGUUUAAAUACACCCUUGUAUCUUGUAUUCAUUUAAAUACACCCUUGUAUCUUGUAUUCUAGUUGUUGGUAGCAAAUUCGAGUGUGGUCUCCAUCUUGGUCCUUGAAUCCUUAAGAUUAGAGGACUGAUUUGGAGUGUGUUUCGUGUUUCCAUUGUCUUUUCUCGUAUCAUUUGGUAUCAAAGACAUAUUUAGUUUUGUUCUUACAAUACCAAUCUUGGGCUAUCUUGCUAAGAAAAAUAAAAAAAAAGGAAAGUUGAAUUUGUUGGCCGAGAAGUUGAAUUUGUUGUUGUUGUAUCUUGGCCGAAUGUUGUGUGUCUAGGUCUAGAAUUUAUUUUGCUUGUUCUGUUGUUUCAAGUUUUAUUAUUCUUGUCCAUUAAAACUUUGAGUCGAUACAGAAUUGAGCUUUAAAAAAAGUUGAUGUUGUUGUUGUGAACAAGACCUUAGCCGUAUGUUGAAGUUGUUGUUCUUGGACUUGUUGUCUUGUUGUUAUAGUCUUGGUUGGAAGUUUUUGUUGUUUUUUGGGAGUUAUAACUUGAAACUUAGAACUUCAAUACUCAAAGUUUGUGUUCUUGGUGUUCUUCACCAUCUCUAUAUAUUGUUGAAAAAAAGUGGUUGUUGAUCUUAGAAGUUGAAGAAAAAGAGUGUGUAUUGUGUUAGUCUUGCAAGACAUAGAUCCAAGUUUCAAGGUGUAGUACUUGUGACUCAAAGACUUUUCUUACACAUUAAAGACUUUACAUCAUUUCUCAGCCACUUUCCCAUGAAACAAUGGUCCAUGUUUUAAGGAGAAGUACAAGAAAAAGUCGUCUUGAAAAUUGAAAAAGGCUCCAAGACUUAUUUUCCCUCCUAAAACAAAUUCCACCAAUCUAAAUUAAUUUUUGACCAAGACUUGAACCUUUGAGAAUAACCACUUGAUAAAACCGAACCAAUACGUGGCUGCCACGUCAUCACUGCUACUGUUCACGCAAUAUUUUUGAGCUCAAAUUUUAGAUUCUUAGUUUCAUCUUAUUGUUUCAUUAGUUUCAUGUCUUGAUUCUAGAAUUAAUUAACUAGUAAUCACCUACUUAGUUGUAUAUUAAUUAUUGAAUCCAUUUCUUCGUGUCAUUGUUAUUUGUGUACGUUUCUCAUUUUUAACUCAUAGUAACUUCUUUCUUUCAAGUUCGUAAGUAAAUUUUGUUUUAUUUCUUGAGUCGAUCAAGCAAGAAUCCAUUCCGGCCGCCAAGUAGAAUUGACAUCUUAUUGACUACCAGAGUAUAAGCAACUUUUAAUAUUCGCUGCUCCAAUUGUGAGGAUCACAAAAGUGAGUGAAUACGAGUGUUGGUGAGGAGGUUUUACUACUAAUCUUGUUUGUUCAUUUUGUAGGUUCAAAAGGUGAUAUAAGGGGAAUAUGUCUUCGAUAGCUAGGAAUUAUUGUGACUACAACACAGGAGACUAUGGUUGUAGUGAGGGGUUUUAUGGCUACAAAGUUGAGGGAGAUUGCAGAGGCUAUGAAAAUAGCCAUGAUCGAAACUUGGGCAGAUUUGAAAGUUACUGUUUUGAAGGAGAAAAUGAGGUGAAUGAAGUUCCUAGUGCUUAUGGUGAUUUUGGAGAUGAUGUAGGAUCUCGUGAUGGAUCUUAUGAUGAUGUUGGAGUAUGUGAGGAGUCCUACACUUCUCAUUCCAAACCUAGAUUUGGUGUUAGGUAUAACCCUUUCGUUCGCAAAGCUUAUGAGAGUUAUUAUGAGAGUACAUGUGAGGAGUAUGAAGAUUCAUAUUCUCCACCUUGUAGUACUUCUUAUCAAGAUCGAUAUAGUGUGAAUGGUUAUACUAGAUCUAGUGGAGGUUGUAAAAUGGCUUUAAUUUGCUAAAUCGGUGAUACAAGAAUAAUGGUCCCCUUAGCUUUUGACGACAUCAUUCAAAGUCACUAUGUGAAAAAUCAAGCUUUGGUCACAUGGAGGGCAUGGGAUCAUACUUGGAGGGGACGUUUUGAGCCUACCAUUGAUCAAACCCAAGUGUGGAAGAUUGCUUGGAGCUUUGAAGACUUAAGGACUCUCGAUUUUGGACCACCUUUAUUGGUUCACGGUUUUGGUUCCCUUUACUAAGGGCAUUUUGGUCACUUAGCUUUAAGGGCAUUUUGGACAAUUCAUAUUGUCUUCCAACACACCAAGGCCACCCUUGGUCAUUAAGGG
rnacentral:lncRNA from 1 species